GAUCUGGCCUAACUCAUUGAAGCUCGGAAAUCUUAAACGUAAUUAUCGUCAACUUUGUCGUCUCUUCUUCUCGCCUGCCAAAACCACCUCGUCUUACGUCACUCAGCUUACGUCACUCAAGUAUAUGAUAUAAACGGGAGAAAACCAA